rnacentral:rRNA from 1 species
UACGUAGGGGGGCAAGCGUUGUCCGGAAUCAUUGGGCGUAAAGCGCGUGUAGGCGGCUCGAUAAGUCCGCUCUGAAAGUCCAGGGCUCAACCCUGGGAUGCGGGUGGAUACUGUCGGGCUCGAGUCCGGAAGAGGCGAGUGGAAUUCCUGGUGUAGCGGUGAGAUGCGCAGAUAUCAGGAGGAACACCAAUGGCGAAGGCAGCUCGCUGGGACGUGACUGACGCUGAGACGCGAAAGCGUGGGGAGCAAACAGG